rnacentral:lncRNA from 1 species
GUCUGUGUCCCACCCUCCCUCCCCGCGGUCUGCUCAGGACACAGCCCUCCCAGCCCGGGCUGGGCCUCACCCUGGAAUCCCAGCUUCCAGAAGAAUCUGUCCCUCUUCGGAGACCCCUUGGCUGGGAGUGGGAGUGAUCGCCAUACCCAUGUCUCCGCCACCCAGGUGUUCCUGGAGGAAACAACUGGGAGGGGCUGCAGAAGGCACCCAGACCUCCUGGACCGGCAGGGUGAGUCACCAAGUCAGCCCCCGGGUCUGGAGCAAGGCCGAGCCCCCCACAGUGCAGACCAGUCUUCUGAGAAACGACUCCGGGCUUGUUUGGGGGCCGGGGGCUCUGUUAGAGCUGGAGCAGGGCCGUGCCCACAAGCACCCGCCUGCAGGUCCCCCAGACUGGAGGCCCUGGUGGGAAGGACGAGGCCCGCGCUCCCUUGUUUGUUGUCUUUGUGUGGAGUACUGACCUUUGUUUGUGGUGUGUUUCCUGGCUCUCUUUCAAAAGUGAGUUGGCUUCAGUCUUGGCCCCCAGCCACCAGUUCCAGGGCAACAGAAAAAGUGUACCCCACAUCCCAAAUCUUUUCAAAAGAGCGAGUAUUUGCUCACAAAAACAGCAGCUGCUCUUCCGAAGUGGCUGGAACAUACACGCCCAGCAGUGUGGGGUGGUGCACGCCUGGGGAGUGACAGGAGGCCUGCGGAGUGGGACCAGCUGUCCUUGGCUGGGCGGAGGCCCAGGUGUCGCUUCAGGGCUGUGGGUGCCUGGCGGGGAGGGCCGAGGAAAGAACCCUCCCGUGGGGGGGCAUCAUGCUCCCUCACGGCUGCACGCAGGUACCCAUCCUGGGGAUAACGUGUGGGUCUCCAAGGGGGUAUCUUUAGCCAGAAGGUGCCUUGUCCAAGGGGAGAAGGUGGGUUGUUUGCGUUCCUGAAGAGGGGGACUCAGGCGGCAGUGGCUGCACAUGGACCACAGAGACAUCCUGGUCUUCCCAGAGCCUCUCCUGCUGGUCCCCCCCUGGCCGGGGGGCUGUGGGGACCUUAGGACCAGGCCUGGUCUGUGGUGAUGGAGUAGGUGUGGAGGCUGGGCCCCCUCUGCAGAGGGCCCCCCCAAUGCAGAGUGAAGCCCUGGGCGGGCGGGGCAGCCACACUGGCUGGAGUGCUGGGGUGGAUCUGCAGGGACUCCGCAGAGCUGAGCUGCCAGGUGUCCAGGUGGUCAGUUAAGACAAGGAGCCUGUCAUGGUCGAUUUCAUGUGUCAAGCUGACUGGGCUAAGGGGAUGCCCCAAAUAGCUGGUAAAACACUGUUUCUGAGUGUUUGAGUGGGGAUGCUUCUGGAAGAGACCAGCACUUGAAUCAGUGGACUGAGGAAAGACGGCCCUCACCAGCAUGGGUGGGCCUCACCAGUCUGUCGAGGGCCUGAAUAGAACAAGACGGGAGAGGAAGGGUGAAUUCGCUCUCUCUUCCUGAGCCGGGACAUCCACCUGCUGCUGCCCCCGGACGUCGGCGCUCCCGGUCCUCAGGCCUUUGGACUCCACGAUUGACAACAUCAGCCUCUCACUCUCAGGCCUUCGGACUUGGACUGAACCACACCACCAGCUUUCCUGGGUCUGUAGCUUGCAGACGCGGGCUGUGCCCCUUGGCCUCCAUAAGCGGGUGAGCCGAUUCUUAUCAUAAAUCUCCCCUUACGUUUAU